UCUGGACCCAUGGCCGAGCCAUUCCUGGCACCCUGCUGCCCACUGGUACCCCCUCCAGGGGCUGUGGAGGGGACAGAGCAUGGUCCUCUUAGCCCCUGUGGAACUGCCUGCAGGUGGCUCACAGAGGCACAGGUGCCAUGGGAGACAGGAACUCUGGCCCUGAGGGCAGAGGGCGUGCACAGGUUGCUGUGAGGCAGGCACUGAUGGGGGUUUGGGGGUUGUUGGGGUGUUGCAGAGGUGUUGUGCUCAGGCCCAUGGAGCAUGACACCAGGGGAGCAGUCAGGAGGGAUAUGGCUACUGCUCUAGAAACAGCAAUUUGCUUUGUCUUCAAGUGGCUCAAAAACCCCUAACUGCUAUUUUCAUCCUUGCAAAUGCAUUUGUCUAAGACAGUAUCAUUGAUAACACAUGCACCUGACCAGUCCUGACCAGCCUGCACUUUCUGUGGCCAUUCUCUACUUUUUAGCCCCACAACAGGCACUGGAUCAUCUGACUCCAGCAUGGCCCUCUGUGGCAAGGGCUAUUAGUAUUCCUUUCUGAGACCAGGAACCUGAGACCCAGAUGAAAUCAGGUACACAAGGCCACUCCACCUGGAGUUGGCCAUGACCCACUGACAAUGACCUGUGCUCUCCAAGGAUACCCUGUGGCAGUCCCAGCUCCACAUACCCGCCCUGCAGCACGUGCCUCUGAGUUCCGCUUGGAAGGCCCCUGAGGACGCCCAGUACCCACAUCCGCAUGGAUCCAACAUGCUGAGCUGGCUCCAGAAAGAACUCUCUCCUGUCGGCAUGCUGCUCACCGAGCGCUACCUCCUGUCCCACACUGUUCCUACAAAGGCACCAGGAUUCUGACCCUCAAGUGAGAGCUCCUGGUGCCUUUGGGUCGCCACUUUGAGGACCUGUGACACCUGCUCCCUGCCGUGCCCUCCACUGGCCCAACCUACCCUUGCUGACUUGUCCUCCACAUGUGCUGAAAGUGGGCACCGCACUGUCCCUCCUCUGUGGGCCUCAGAGACUGUCUCACUGGCUUCCCAGAGGACUUCCAGUAGAAGCAGCCCCUGGGAAGCUCCCAGUCAGCCUCCUGCUCCUGCGGCCUGGAGCCAGCUCGAGUUAGGCACUCCCAAGUCCUCUUCUCUCAUCGCCACCCUGGCCCAUGCCACUCUCAGGGCAGCUCGAUCCCGGUCCCAUCCCUGUGUCCAGCUCUCCAGUCUACACCUGCAGGACCCUGCUCUUCACUGGUGAGUAUAGGAGGGCCCCACUGACCAAGUUUUCAUCUAAAUGCUACUUCUGUCAUCUGGAAAUAUGUUUUUCUGUUGCUGGAUGGCUUUGCCCCUGACUGGACACACUGUGACCUGGCCACCCCCUCCAGGAAGACUCCAGGAGGCUUCAUCUCUGGCCUCAGGGUAGGCUCCUUCAAUGGCAGUGCUGACCUUGGGAGCAGGUGGUUGAGUGCCUCAUUCACACUCUUGUUGUUGUGGCUCUGGACUGACCGCAGAGCACUCACCGUCACCAGAGAUUCUGACCCAGACAGGCAGCAAGGUCCCUAGUACCCACCCCCAUGGAUGCAGAGCAGAAUGGUGACCUGGCCUCAUCACAAAGCUUCACCUGUGGCACUGGUGAGCCCCCAGACUCAGCCACAGGCCACUGUGGGUCCACUCAUGUCAGAGCUCUAGGAUCUGUCAGCCUUCCAGGCUGGCCCUUUACUCGGCAGCAGCAGGGCCAGGUCAGAGGGUCUCAACCAGACAUCUAACAAAAAGAAGGGCGGUCAGGAUGUGAUGUGGGGCUGAGGGGGCGGGUAGGGACCCAAGCUCACCUUCUGUGGUGAGUCGCCUCAAAGCACCACCUGCUUCCCUACCAACUGCAAGGCUCCUUGGGCCUCCCUUGAAGGAGAGGAACCAUCUGAAGACAAGCCCAUUUCACUGAGGCUCUUCGGGGCAUCAUGUGAGUGGGCAGACUUGAUGUGGGGCACCAGCAGUCCUGGCUUCUCUUGUGGGACACCUGGGACGAUGUGUGCUUUGGGCUUUUUGAACAGGUCCAUGCAGCAUGGCCGGAACACCAUUUAAGGCGGAGCACAAUUGCCACGUUCUCACCCAGUUCCUCUGGUGCUGAGGCCUUCGAGGGACACGCACAUCUCUGCUGGGUUAAGCUGCUGGGAUCUGGAGUCCUCUGCACCACAGGAGGAAUCAGGGGCCCUCUGGAGUGUCCUCCAGAUCCAAGCUUAGAGACAGUAUGGGGCGAGUCCAUCAGCCAUGUGCCAGGACACGGAACACUGGCAGGCCCAUGCCCACUAGCACGGUCAGCUAGCACCCCAGAAGACAUGGUAGUAUCCCUGUUUUAUAGAUGAGAAAACUGAAGGCCAGGAGCGGUGGCUCAUGCCUGUAAUUCUAGCACUUUGGGAGG